rnacentral:rRNA from 1 species
UCGCAUCGAUGAAGAACGCAGCGAAAUGCGAUACGUAAUGUGAAUUGCAGAAUUCAGUGAAUCAUCGAAUCUUUGAACGCACCUUGCGCCCCUUGGUAUUCCGAGGGGCACACCCGUUUGAGUGUCGUGAAAAUCUCAACCUUCUCGGUUUCUUCUGGACACCGAAGGAGGCUUGGACUUUGGAGGCCUUUGCCGGCUUUUGAGAGCCGGCUCCUCUUAAACAAAUUAGCGGGGUCCUCUUUGCCGAUCCUCGACAUGUGAUAAGAUGUUUCCAUGACUUGGUUUCUGGCUCUGUUGCCUUUGGGACCCGCUUCUAACCGUCUCGACGAGACAACGUUUGGGCGCGUCUCCCUUCUCGGGAGACUCUCUCGACCCCACGAACCCUUGACCUCAAAUCGGGUGGGACUACCCGCUGAACUUAAGCAUAUCAAUAAGCGGAGGAAAAGAAACUAACAAGGAUUCCCCUAGUAACUGCGAGUGAAGCGGGAAAAGCUCAAAUUUAAAAUCUGGCGGUCCUUGGCCGUCCGAGUUGUAAUUUAGAGAAGCGUCUUCCGCGCCGGACCGUGCACAAGUCUCCUGCACUGGAGCUCAG